ensembl:lncRNA
UGGCUCUAUUUAGGCCAAAACCAAACAAAGACAUCCACAUGGGUUGCUCUCCCUGCAGGAGCAAACAGAACAAAUUAGUAUGAUUAGGUAGGUGAAACUUUAGGAAUGCCUUGGGGGGCUUUCUCUGCCUCUCAAUACCUUAUGGAUGAGCUCGGUGCAUACUUUAUGAGUGACCUUCCCAUUCUUCCCACUGAUACGAUUUAUUCAUGGGGGAGAAAAAGGAAGGGAGGCAAUGAGAGUGGGAGAUAGGGAAUGAGAGAGAGAGAUAGAGAAUGAGAGAAGGAGAGAGGGAAUGAGAGAGGGAGAUAGAGAAUGAGAGAGGGAGAGAGGGAAUGAAAGAGAGACAUAGAGAAUGAGAGAAGGAGAGAGGGAACGAGAGAAGGAGAUAGAGAAUGAGAGAGGGAGAUAGAGAAUGAGAGAGGGAGAGGGGGAAUGAAAGAGAGACAUAGAGAAUGAGAGAAGGAGAGAGGGAACGAGAGAAGGAGAUAGAGAAUGAGAGAGGGAGAUAGAGAAUGAGAGAAAUAAAGAGAGAGAAGCUAAGGGGUUUGGGAUGUAACGCGCCAGCACCUGCAGAAGGGCUCCGCUCUCCGUCCCACCGGAGGGCUCCGGUUACCACUUCCACUCUGUAAUUAAUGGCGGCUGUUUAUCGCAGUCAUCAGAUUAAUGUGCACGCAUGUACAUGCACAUUCAUCCACACAUGCACGCACACACACACACACACACACACACAUACACAGACCACAACACAUGAAUCAAUGUGCUAUAUACGCACACAGUACAUAGUAACAGACUAAAAUAUGGGAACACUAUCUUUUGUGGACCCUGACACACACAUAUUCAUGUGAGUAUGUGCACACCUGCACGUACAUACACAGACACACACAAACACACACCCCCACACACACACACACACACAGACACACAAUCACAUUCUCUGCAAAUGACUGCCAUCAGGGUAAUUAAAGCAGUAUUAGCAGUGAGUGAAUAAAAGAUGCCUGUCUCUCUCUCCCUCCCCUCUCUCUGAACUGCUCUCACCCUCUCCUCACCCCACUUCCUGCUUCUUCUCUGCUCAUUUUCUCCACCACUCCUCUAGCCCCGAUCCCUGGAGGUGUGUAAGUGUAGGUCUGAGUGAGCAUCAUGUAGUGAGGGCAACUGUGGCACAUAAAAGGCUACGGAAGAGAAUAUCUGGGCUGAGGCUCACCUGCUGAGUGGUAAACCACUGGAGGCAUAUUCUCUCUCACACACACGCACGCACAAACACACAAACAUCCAGGCAUGUCUUGUUGAAUGUGCAGGUCCUGCAUCAAGAUUAAUGGACCGUUAUAGCCAAUCGGGUUAGCCGGUGAGAGGGCGCAGGAAUACCAAGGAGCGAGAACAGCCAGUGGAGGUCGAGUCUGAUAGAGAGCUGUGUGUGGUAAUGCGUAUGUGUGUGUGUGCGUGUGUGUGUGUGUGUGUGUGUGUGUGUGUGUGUGUGUGUGUGUGUGUGUGUGUGUGUGUGUGUGCGUGCGUGUGUGUGUGUGUGUGUGUGUGUGUUUAUGAGGCUGUAUGUGUGUGUGUGUUUGUGUGGUUGUGUGUGAAGUCGCCCAGAGAGAGCUAGAGAAGGAGGACGCCCUGAUUAGACAACAGCUCUCUCAGCCUCACUACUCCUCCUACUUCUUCCUCCCC